UCCGUUUGAAGGGAACCCGCCAUUUUCCUCCUCUCCCUGCUUUUCCUUUUCAUCUGCUUCCAACUGACUGACAAGUGACAUCCGAUCAAUUUACUCUCGUCCUCUUGGAUCCCAACGGCCGUAGGCAGCGGCUAGAGGUCGGCCGGCCGGCGAACUGACUAUCGAGACUCCGUCGGAGAGAGGCGAUGGUUGUCCGGAAGGUUGGGCGCUACGAGAUCGGGCGCACGAUCGGCGAAGGCACCUUCGCCAAGGUGAAGUUCGCGCAGAACACCGAGACAGGCGAGAGCGUAGCCAUGAAGAUCCUCGAUCGCGCCACCAUACUCAAGCAUAAGAUGGUCGAUCAGAUUAAGCGGGAGAUUUCUAUUAUGAAACUUGUCAGGCACCCUUAUGUUGUACGUCUGCACGAGGUUUUGGCCAGUCGCACAAAGAUCUAUAUAAUUUUGGAAUUCAUUACGGGCGGCGAAUUAUUUGAUAAAAUAGUCCGUCAGGGGCGACUUAGUGAAAAUGAAUCGAGGAGAUAUUUUCAGCAGCUUAUUGAUGGGGUGGAUUAUUGCCAUAGUAAGGGAGUCUAUCAUAGGGAUUUGAAGCCUGAAAAUCUUCUACUCGAUUCUCAAGGGAAUCUGAAAAUUUCUGACUUUGGCCUCAGUGCUUUGCCACAACAUGGUGCUGAUCUCCUUCAUACCACUUGUGGAACUCCAAAUUAUGUAGCCCCUGAGGUACUCAGCCACAAAGGUUAUCAUGGUUCUGUGGCAGAUGUGUGGUCUUGUGGAGUGAUCCUUUAUGUAUUACUGGCUGGUUAUCUUCCAUUUGAUGAGAUUGAUCUUUCUACUCUAUAUGGCAAAAUUGAAAAGGCAGAAUUUUCUUGUCCAUCCUGGUUCCCUGUUGGGGCAAAAGCAUUAAUAUGCAAAAUUUUGGACCCAAACCCUGAUACUCGCAUUAGGAUUGAAGAUAUCAGGAACGAUGAAUGGUUUGCAAGAAAUUAUACACCAGUAAAGAACUUUGAAUGCGAGGAUGUUAAUCUGGAUGAUGUUUUUGCUGCUUUUACUGAUCCUGAGGUUCAAGACUUUUCUGAGCAACCGACCAAUAAAAAUGCAGGUCCUCUAGUUCUGAAUGCAUUUGACUUGAUUAUUCUCUCACAGGGACUAAAUCUCUCAACUUUGUUUGAUAAGAGUCAGGAUGACGUGAUGCAUCAAACCCGCUUUGUGACCCAGAAACCUCCACAAGUUGUUCUUUCAAGCAUGGAAAUUGUGGCACAGUCAAUGAGUUUCAAGACACAUAUCCGUAAUUUCAAGAUGAGAAUUGAAGGACUUUCUGCUAAUAAAUUGUGGCAGUUUUCUGUGAUUUUGGAGGUAUUUGAAGUUGCUCCUACAUUUUUCAUGGUAGAUGUUCAGAAAGCUGCAGGCGACACUGCUGAAUACCACAAGUUCUAUAAGAAUUUCUGCAGCAACUUAGAAGAUAUUAUAUGGAAACCACCCGAAGAAGGAAACGGCCAGAGAUUUUGGUGGCAGUAAAAAAUUCACAGUGAAAGAUACUACAUUCUCUCUUACCCGGGUGUAGUAUUUCCCAUAUACUCAAUGUACCAUGGACUUCGCUGUAUAUUUUUCUGGCGUUUGAUGUGCCUGUUGUGGUAGAAGGGUACAGCUUACUAUUGAGCAACCUAUUUUUGAAUUUACUGUCAAGAGCAUCACGCAAAUGGUUCUGUUCUUGGCUUUAGCUAGAUCUUGUGAAUUACGACAUGUUGUAACAUGGUAUUAUGAUUCCUCAGCAGUAUUAGGUUGUAUCUUAUCACAGAAUGGUUUGCCAAAUUUUAUGUACAUUUCUAUAUUGAAGUUUAUUUUUUCCGACAUGCUAAUUCUUAAUUUAAAUGGAAUGUGUAUUCAGUUAGCAAA